AGCCCUGUAGUCUAGCGGUCAAGGAUCUUUGGCUCUGGCCCAAAGGACCUCGGUUCGAAUCCGAGCAGGGCUA
rnacentral:tRNA from 1 species